UACGGAAGGCAGCAGUGGGGAAUAUUGCACAAUGGGCGCAAGCCUGAUGCAGCCAUGCCGCGUGUAUGAAGAAGGCCUUCGGGUUGUAAAGUACUUUCAGUCGUGAGGAAGGUGUUAAGGUUAAUAACCUUAGCAAUUGACGUUAGCGACAGAAGAAGCACCGGCUAACUCCGUGCCAGCAGCCGCGGUAAUACGGAGGGUGCGAGCGUUAAUCGGAAUUACUGGGCGUAAAGGGCACGCAGGCGGUUAAUUAAGUUGGAUGUGAAAUCCCCGGGCUUAACCUGGGAAUGGCAUUCAAGACUGGUUAGCUAGAGUCUUGUAGAGGGGGUAGAAUUCCAUGUGUAGCGGUGAAAUGCGUAGAGAUGUGGAGGAAUACCGGUGGCGAAGGCGGCCCCUGGACAAAGACUGACGCUCAUGUGCGAAAGCGUGGGGAGCGAAACAGGGAUUAGAU
rnacentral:rRNA from 1 species